AUCGAACGCUGGCGGCAGGCCUAACACAUGCAAGUCGAGCGAGCGGCGGACGGGUGAGUAAUGUAUGGGGACUGCCCGAUAGAGGGGGAUAACUCCUGGAAACGGUAGCUAAUACCGCAUACUAUCGGAUAACCCAUAUGGGAUUAGCUAGUAGGUGAGGUAAUGGCUCACCUAGGCGACGAUCCCUAGCUGGUCUGAGAGGAUGAUCAGCCACACUGGGACUGAGACACGGCCCAGACUCCUACGGAGGCAGCAGUGGUGAAUAUUGGACAAUUGGCGCAAGCCGGAUGCAGCCAUGCCGCGUGAAUGAAGAAGGCCCUAGGGGUGUAAAGUUCUUUCAGUCGGGAGGCGUUACCGACAGAAGAAGCCCCGGCUAACUACGUGCCAGCAGCCGCGGUAAUUC
rnacentral:rRNA from 1 species